GUCGCAGCUGGGAGGCAAUGGGCGGCGACCCCACAGAGGACGUCGUUGAAGAGACAUGGGAUGACGCUAGAGGAGCAGGGGACCCCUACCACCAGACCUGUCCGUGGACUGUUAGGAGCCAAGCGGCACAGCAGAGUUGCAAAGUUAUAAGAGGAGGGAGUUCAAAAUAGAAGUAAAAACAAGUAGAAUCAUUUCUCAU